rnacentral:rRNA from 1 species
UACUGAUUUGCAUUUCUUUUUUCAUGAAUUAAUUUGGAUUUUUACAAAUGUACCAAUGUGUGGUUUUAUAUAUAUAUUGGGAUAUAGACAAAGUAGAAAUAUUUCUUAGUUUGUUGGUUUAAACAAGAAUUAGAUACUCUUUUAUAAAUAAAUUGAUUUUUAUAAUCUCAGUUUUAACUGAAAGAAAUUGGCAGCUGAUGAUAUCCCGUUGGGGGAAUGUGUGAUUUAAUAGAUGUUCCACUAGAUAAUUUAUUCCUAUUAUUAGUUAGUGUAUAUCCGGUUUAGUUACAAAAACCAUAUGGUUUUUGUAAAAAAUUAUUUUGUUUUAAUCCAGGUCAAUAUGCUGCUUAUUUAGGAGUUAUCAUGCAUUACAUUAUAAGAUUUUGCACUGUAAGAGUGUGGAUUGGUUUAGGACUCAAUAGUAUUAUAAGAGAUUGUGCU